rnacentral:rRNA from 1 species
CCUACGGGCGGCAGCAGUGGGGAAUAUUGCACAAUGGGGGAAACCCUGAUGCAGCGACGCCGCGUGAGUGAAGAAGUAUUUCGGUAUGUAAAGCUCUAUCAGCAGGGAAGAAAAUGACGGUACCUGAUUAAGAAGCCCCGGCUAACUACGUGCCAGCAGCCGCGGUAAUACGUAGGGGGCAAGCGUUAUCCGGAUUUACUGGGUGGAAAGGGAGCGUAGACGGCAGCACAAGUCUGGAGUGAAAUGCCGGGGCUGAACCCCGGAACUGCUUUGGAAACUGUGCAGCUAGAGUGCAGGAGAGGGAAGUGGAAUUACUAGUGUAGCGGUGAAAUGCGUAGAUAUUAGGAGGAACACCAGAGGCGAAGGCGGCUUACUGGACUGUAACUGACGUUGAGGCUCGAAAGCGUGGGGAGCAAACAGGAUUAGAUACCCGAGUAGUC